rnacentral:lncRNA from 1 species
ACACCUUCUUUUUCCUACCCUGCAAGGGGUAUAAGGGAGUUUUUUCCAAUUUAAGUGACAAUCGAAAUGGGAUUAUUUAUCAAAUUCAGAGUCGCCACUUGGGAUAAUUUAUGGUAUCCCAUGUCACCAGUUUAAUAUUCUGAAUCGAGGAAAUUGACUCUUAUUUAUGGUCUGCGAACACAGAAAUCCGGGUAAGAAAUUAUAUUAACCCGGGAGAAGGUGUUAGGCAUUCCCGAGUUCCGUGGUUUUAGCACGGUCGCUUUGAUCAUACCCGGCUUAAUUAAAUUGUCUAAUUACUUAUUUUAGAACCUAUGUGCAUUUGCCUCUUUUAAUUAAGAAGUUAUCUUAAAAUAGGUCAUGCGCACGUGUACCCAUUUGUUUGGCGCGUCAAGAACCAUAUCACGCGCACGUGUCCACAAUUCCUACGCUUAUUUAUUUAGGAAAAAGUUUGGCCAAAGUUACGCGAAUGCAUACCUUGAUUUAUUUUUAGAAAUCGUAACCAUGUCAUGCGGAUGUGUACACAAUCACGAUAGUAGAUUUAAGAGUACGCCUAAAGCAUUCUAGCCAUUGAAAAUAUUUGAUGCCCAUUCUCCACCCCAUAAUCCCAAUUACUUUCUUCAGGCUUGCUUGUACGUGACAUAUCUUUCAUGUCGUUUCUCUAGUAUUGGUUUACUGAUGACCCUCGUAUCCUUGUUCCAUUUACAUACCUCUUGAAUCUCCUACGGUAUUUUCUAGUUUAGCCAAACGAAUAAAUUUCUUAACAUCUUCAAUUUCUUGGCUUGAAGAUGAAUUUAUUCCUUGGGCUGUUAAGUUUAACAGUAGAAUUCUUGGUCUCACGUGAUUGAAAAUUCAUAUGUCCACAUUGCUGCACCAAGUAGUCUUAUUUAAUUAACCCCAUGACUGCAAAAGUACCAGCUUGCAAUCCACCGUCCUUCUUUAUAAAAGAUGGUCUAACUUACAACUUGUUACCUUAACGGUCUGGUGUUAAAGUUAUUGAUCUAGUUUUUCGCAAAUUUUAGCAGAACUGAACCUUAAUCUCACUUAAAAUCCCAAACAACCCACUCAUUAACAACGGUAAUUUCCAGAUUCCCAAAAAAUCUCUUAGAACUUUUAUUGAACAAAAUAAGAUAGUAACAAAUCCAAACCAUAAUCUCGUGAAACAAAGAAAAAAUCAAAUUGAGAGAUUCAAGCUCAAUAAAAUGUACUAAAAUGUCAUUCCAUCAAAUAAUUACACAAAAAGCCGAUUAACACAGUCAAUGGAUGAAAGAAACAGUAAAGAGGAGAAGAAGAGGACCUUUUAUAUAAAUUAUCUGAGCUGGAAUUACAGGAGCUUGACAAACGGACAACUAUUGACUGGAGCAUUUUCCGGCGACAACAAGCGAACCAGUGGUCGGAGACCUCGAAACUUCAAUCAUUGGUUCCGAGAAAAUCUCACAAACGAGUUCCAAACUGGACUCAAAACUAACGAAACUUCAACAACAGAAAAUGAGGCUCAUGACCACCUAGAAAUUGAACUGCAGAAAGGGAGGAAGCGAGGGAUCGAGAGAAGGAACGUCGAUUUCGACUAGAACCUAAGAGGCCGUGAAGUAUGAAAGCUGUGAAAUUGCAAGGCUUUUCCGACGAGCUCGCCAGAUAGGAAAUGGGGAAAAUGGUUGGUUCUCUACUUCAACGGUUAGGACCUGCUGCUGCUCAAGAUUAACGAAGAUGGGGGAGGGCGUUUUUGGUCUUGUUCGCUGAUAACUCUAGCUAGGGGUCCUUUUUUGGUUCUUGCUGCUUCAAGAAGAUCGAUAUGAGGGGUACCUCUUGAUGAAAACCGACCGAUCUUAGGUCUAGGGGUAUAGGGUGUAACCGCUGAUUCUAUUUUUUAGGUGUUUUUAGGUUAGUUCUCUGGGUUGUCUACUGACGAAGAAGGAGUUUGGUGGGGUGGGGUGAAGAAGAUGAAAUACAAG